rnacentral:rRNA from 1 species
CCUACGGGAGGCAGCAGCAGGGAAUCUUGUCCAAUGGGCGAAAGCCUGAAGACGGCGACGCCGCGUGAGGGAUGAAGGCCUUCGGGUUGUAAACCUCUUUCAGGAGGGACGAAAUUGACGGUACCUCCAGAAGAAGCCCCGGCCAACUACGUGCCAGCAGCCGCGGUAAUACGUAGGGGGCAAGCGUUGUCCGGAUUUAUUGGGCGUAAAGAGCUCGUAGGCGGCUCAACAAGUCAGUCGUGAAAGCCCGGGGCUCAACCCCGGGAGGCCGAUUGAUACUGUUGUGGCUAGGGUUCGGUAGAGGAGAGUGGAAUUCCCGGUGUAGCGGUGGAAUGCGCAGAUAUCGGGAGGAACACCAAUAGCGAAGGCAGCUCUCUGGGCCGAUACCGACGCUGAGGAGCGAAAGCUAGGGGAGCAAACAGGAUUAGAUACCCUGGUAGUCCUAGCUGUAAACGUUGGGCACUAGGUGUGGCGGACUCAUUGACGUCUGCCGCGCCGUAGCUAACGCAUUAAGUGCCCCGCCUGGGGAGUACGGUCGCAAGGCUAAAACUCAAAGGAAUUGACGG